UACAGGAAGGGAGCCCCGUGAACACACGGUAACCUGCGCCCUCACUCCCGCGCGGGGGCCGGGCACACAGCCACAUCCCUCGCCUUCCUCCCUCUCCCAGGGAUCCCCCCUCACCCCACCUUCCGGGCUUACAGAAGAGGUAACACUGGCUUACUAUUGAGUUAUCAAACUGAGAGCAGGCGCCUUCACUUGACAUCUGGGACUUCCGCCAGGCCCACUCACCUUCCUCUCCCACCUCCUCGGAGGCCAGACCUCCAGGCCAGCGAGGCCCUGUGCCCCGGCCCUGUGGAGGCCAUGCGCAGCCGCACCCUGCGCUGUACACUCUCCCCACCACCACAGGGCAGGCCCCUCUUGGUUUGCUCCCACAUCAGUUCUCAGUUCCUCACUGUCCUGGGCUUUGAGGCCGACUGUACAGACCAAACCACACGGGGCCCCUUGCCCUUUGGCUUCCCACACACUCAGCCAAAGGGAGGCUGGAACGGGAUUUGGGGGUUGAGGAGGGAGAGGCGGGGUUUGUUCCCGCCCCGCCUGGGUGCAACGCGGCAGGGGACCCUCCAACCUUGGCCACAGCUGCCGGGCCACACCACUCCGUUCCCUCUCCGGUCCCCUCAGGCCUGGAGGGGACUAUCCCAAGGGUCCCACCGCCCCUUGUUUCUGUAACUCUGCCAACCCCUUCAGUGAACUUUCUUUUAUCACUCAGUUUAGUUUAAUGUAAAUAGUCCCUUCAUUAAACUAAUAACCACUUUUUGUUCUCCAUUUCUUUCCUUCCAGGAUCCUAACAGACACACCUGCCUCCCAUCUACCUAUCAAAUCUUGUGUGGAACUCUCAAACUCAAGCUGAACCCUUGCUGUGAGACUUGCUAAUGGUACCAGCCCAUCCUGAGCUGUCCUGGAGAGAAUUUAACAGCUUCACUAAAAGAGAUAGACCUUCCCUUGGGUAUGUAGUGCCACCUGCUGGACAUCCAGAGAAACAGCGCCAUCUAGCUUUGAAGUCCCUGAUGAAGAAAGCCCACUUGGAAGGUAGCAAUCACUCUUCAAAUGAAUUGGCUUAUGAAGAAAAAAAACACAGCAUGAAAUAGAGAACUUUAAAUGAGGACCAGAAAAGAAGGAAAGGAGAAUGUUAAAAAGUAUAAGAAUACAAGGCAAAUCUCCUUCUUCCAGAGAUAAAGAAAUGGAGAUAUACAGAUUUCUUAAAAGGGCCCUUCCUGUCCUGCGACAUAUGCUGUAUUAUGAUUAUCUUGUUCAUUUCCUCAUUUUCAUUACUUCUGUCCUCUUGGUUAAGUAGCCUGAUUCUAAAGACCUAAGGGCUAGAACUAACACUGACAAGAUGGAAAAUAAGCUCUUGAUGUGCACUUAGCUGCUCCAAAUGAACAUGCAAACAGUUAGGAUCUAUAGUUCCUAAAGCCCACUGAUGAAAUAAUUCAUCCAGUAUCCAAAAUCCUUUGGCAAUCUUUUGGGUAGAAUUCUGCUCUUACUAUUAUUAUACAAUAGGCAUCACCCUACAGUCAUUUCAUAUGUAAUUCCUAAUCUUCAUAAAAUCUCUUAAUAUUUUAUAAAUGAGGAAACAAAGGCUCAAAAGAGUUAAACAACUUCCUCAAGUUUCCUAGUACAUAAGUGGUAGAGCUGGGCUUUGAAUCCAGGUCUCUGUGAUACAAAAAAAAAAAACCCCAAAAACUACACUUUUCCUAUAUGUUAAGCUGCCUUUCAGAACCCUAUCUACUUCAGAUCAAGAGCUUCCAAUAUGCAAGGCAUAGGGCUAGAUGCAUUAUCUCAUUUAGUCACAGAGUAAUGCAUUUGAGUUCAUUAUCAUGGUCAUUUGAUAUUGACAUUGCUAGCAAGAUUUUAAAACCAGUAAUUAAAAAGGUUUUGAGCAAUGGGGAAAGGAUUCAAUCACUGGAAACUAGUAAGGCUUUGCUAUGAGUAAAUCAUGCCUGCCUAUCUUCACUUCCUUUUAAAUUUGGCCAACAGAUGACAGAGAAAUGGUAGAGUUAUUUAGACAGGCAUUUGAAAAAGUCUUUCUUAUGAUCCUCUUUUAUGAACAACCUGCAUUACAUAGAAUAGUAAUAUCAUGUAAUCCAGUGAGCUCUACCCAAAGAGCUUUGACUGAUAUACUGACUUCUCAGACCAGUCUUUUUUGAUUUAUUAAUUUGCUAGGAUGAGGACAUGGAUGAUAUCAACUCCUCUGAUCCUCUGAAGCUGAGAGGAAUAGCUGAUAUAUAUGAAUGAACCUAGUCCAAGACAUUGUCAACACACCGGGAUGAUGAGCAGAUCCUAAUGAGAUGAAGUUUAGCAGAACUGAAAGGGAGGUCCUCCACUAUGUCCCAGGAAGAAGUGCUCAAGGAAGACGAACAAAUCAUUUAUAUGUAAAGGCUGGCAAUGGCAGAAAGAAUGAACUACAGUGUAGUCAGUAGGAGGAGGCGGCUCAUGGCCCCACUUCUCUACUUGUUCACAGGAGAGCUCCUGCUGGGCUUUCAAGGGGACUCACGGGACACAUGCUAAAGGGAGUUUCUGUCCUGUGGCAUGUCUCCAUGUACUUGAUCAACUAUUAAAGGAACUGGGAAGGUCUAACCUACAGAAGACUUUUUGGGAGGUGGGAUAUCUGUAUUCAAACUUCUGAUGGGCUAUGUUGAUGAUGAGACAUAGAAAAAUAGUUGGUAUAAGUGGGCUCAGAGAGUAGAACUAAGAGUGGAAGUUAGAUGGGGUAGUGUCUGGCUUCAUAUAUGGAAGAACUUUCUAACAGCCAUAGAAAAACAAAAUGAACUAUUUCAAAGAAGUAAGUCCCUUACUGUGAAACUUUUGUUCCACCAGAGGCAGGAUGACUGACCAUUUGAGAGGGAUGUUGGAGGGGAAAUUCUGGCAUUCAGUGGAGGCUUGACUGUAUUACUGCUAAAACCCCUUCUAAGCCAGAGAUUCUACAAUAUUCUGCAAAUGAAACUGUGCAUCUUAAGAUGCAGGGACAUGCUAACAGAAGAGAAGAAGAAAGUGAUGAGUCCACUCAGAUGAAAAAGGUGUUGGGCUGGCUGAGCGAAGAUGACAUAACCCUCUGCGAGCUUGCUGGAUACAGUUACGGUGUCUUUGGACUCGGCCUGCGGACAGACAUGGUGGCCAUCAAACCCCCAUUGAUGGACGGUGCUGUAAAGUCACAUUGCUCACUACUUGGAAAACCCUUCAUGUUUUCCAAAAGAGACAAACUUCUCAAUCCCUUCAAUUAUAUUAUUAGGUGGGCUCUUAAUGGCAGCCAGCUUGGCGCUUGCAUAUUGCUGCACCCUUUUAUUCCAGACUUUAAGCCCUUCGUCACUGAAACUUGAGCCACUUAUGUUACAAUCAAGCCACACAGAGAACAGGGGAAAAUGGUAUGCCUUCUUUUACUUUGAAGAGAUGACUUUAUUACCAGUGGUUAUGUUUUUUUUAAGUCUCAGAAUACAUGAUAUAUUAAUUCUA